rnacentral:rRNA from 1 species
UAAUACGUAGGAUCCGAGCGUUGUCCGGAGUUACUGGGUGUAAAGGGUGCGUAGGCUGUUCUGUGCGUCAGAGGUGAAAUCCACGGGCUUAACUCGUGGGGUGCCUUUGAUACGGCAGGGCUUGAGUACGAGAGAGGUGCGUGGAAUUCCUGGUGUAGCAGUGAAAUGCGUAGAUAUCAGGAGGAACACCGGUGGCGAAGGCGGCGCACUGGCUCGUAACUGACGCUGAGGCACGAAAGCGUGGGGAUCAAACAGGAUUAGAUACCCUGGUAGUCCACGCCUUAAACGAUGCAUGCUUGGUGUUGGUCUCGCAAGAGAUCAGUGCCGUAGUUAACAUGAUAAGCAUGCCACCUGGGGAGUACGAUCGCAAGGUUGAAACUCAAAGGAAUUGACGGGGGCCCGCACAAGCGGUGGAUCAUGUGGUUUAAUUCGAUGCAACGCGAAGAACCUUACCCGGGCUUGAAGUCUACGUAGUAAAGAGAUGAAAGUCGAAU